GUACCUGUGUCAGUGUGUCUGUCAGUGUAUGUGCCUGUUUAUCUGUAUGUAGUCAGUGUAUGUAUCUGUGUAUCUGCUUGUGCGUCAGAGUGUGUACCUGUGCAUCUGAGACGCAACUUUAAAUACAAAUACACCCCUCCAUUCAAACUUCAACACUACAUAUAAAACACACUCCUGCAUUGAAACGUCAACACUACAUACAAGCACACUCCUAC